AACAAAAAAACCAUCUAUUUUCGUAACAUGAGAAAGAUGAUGUAAUUUUCUCACUUCCCUUGUCGGCAAAGCUCCAAUUGUGUUUUCAUGGCGCAAAAUGGAAAAGAUGCACGCAAAGGAUACAUGUUGGUCGUCUACGAUCACGCAUUUAUUACCCUAAAGGCAGAAAAUGUGAUAAAGUGUUGGCUCUUAUUGCGUUGUACGCUUGUUCUGGUGAGUGCAAAGUAAUUUUCACCAAUUUGAUAUUGCCGUAAAGCCGCCACGGCCGAGUGCUAAGCGCUAAGCUAACAGUGAAGCUGUGGGUGUCGCUCCCUCGGCAGCUCACCCCAAGAGGCCUCCCAGCUGCUCUCCACGUCACACCUCGCCGCAAAGCUGUUUUUGGGAUCCUCUUUCGGGCUCGGUCGGUUGAACAGCGCGCCUCCAGUAGGCCACGUAGAAAAUUGACUAGAAAUGUAAAGUCAUAAUGAUGUCAGGCACCAAUGUAUGUAUUUUUCCUGUAUGCAGAACUGAACUCAUAUGGAAGCCGAAGAUUUUCCUCUUCCUUGCUCCUCAUUGGACGCUUCUACCACUUUUAUCAUGUAUGAUUAUGGAUCAAAGACAAGCAUGACCACAAGUGUGAAGUGAGGAGCACCUCAGUGUCACCGACGCCAACUACGCCGUCUCCCCUGAGGAGAGAAGACGCACGGGGGUGGCCAAACUUUUAAGACUGGGGGAGGGAAAUGUUAAAUGUGCAAAGAGAAAUGAAACACUUGAGCAAUGUGCAAGGCAGGUACCGACAGGACCGGCAUUAAAGCAGAGAGAGAGCGAGGGAGAGAGCAAGAGAGAGAGAGAGAGAUAGAGAGAGAGAGACAUGGGGGGGGGGGAAUAGUAGAAAGGAAGGGGCUCAUGAAAAUGGCUGAGAAAUUCAAGUCAAAUCUUUAUACUGUAUAUUUUAGAAUGUGACUCUUUCUCAUUGGCUACGCAAAAACAACUUUGUCUUAAUGCAAAUAAAAAUGGGAACGCCUCAUUGGGCCACUCGCACAAGUCCAAA